AAUUUUGCACAAUGGGGCAAACCGUGAUCCAGCCAUGCCGCGUGAGCGAAGAACACCCACGGCUUGUAAAGCUCUUUUGGCCGUAAAGAAAGGGUUCUCUUGAAUCCGGGAGACUUAUGACGGUACCGGCAGAAUAAGCACCGGCUAACUACGUGCCAGCAGCCGCGGUAAUACGUAGGGUGCGAGCGUUAAUCGGAAUUACUGGGCGUAAAGAGUGCGUAGGCGGUUCUUUAUGUCAGGUGUGAAAUCCCCGGGCUCAACUCGGGAAUUGCAGUGGAAACUGGCGGUCUAGAGUAUGGCAGAGGAGAGUGGAAUUCCGAGUGUAGCAGUGAAAUGCGUAGAGAUGCGGAGGAACACCGGUGGCGAAGGCAGCUCCCUGGCCUAACACUGACGCUGAGGCACGAAAGCGUGGGGAGCAAACAGGAUUAGAUACCCUGGUAGUCCACGCCCUAAACGAUGCUCACUAGGUGUGGGAGAAGCGACUUUCCUGUGCCGCAGCUAACGCGUG
rnacentral:rRNA from 1 species